rnacentral:rRNA from 1 species
CUCAAAAAGCGUUCCUCAGUUCGGAUUGCAGGCUGCAACUCGCCUGCAUGAAGUCGGAAUCGCUAGUAAUCGCAGGUCAGCUAUACUGCGGUGAAUGUGUUCCUGAGCCUUGUACACACCGCCCGUCAAGCCACGAAAGCGGGGAGCGCCUAAAGUCGUUUUUCAAUCCUUCGGGUAGAGAAGCGCCUAGGGUGAGUUCCGUGAUUGGGACUAAGUCGUAACAAGGUAGCCGUAGGGGAACCUGCGGCUGGAUCACCUCCUUUCUAAGGA